rnacentral:misc_RNA from 1 species
GUGAAUCAUCAAAUUUUUGAACGCAAAUUGCACUCUCUUCGGAGAGUAUGCCUGUUUGAGGGUCAGCCUAAAAAAAAUCGACAUCGUCGCUGUUUCGCGGUGAUAUUCGUCGGAAAUUGGGUUAUCUUAGACCUUUUGGUUUUUAUAGGCUUAAUAUUUUUUUUAUGAUUCGACUCUCGUUUCUACUAUUUACUUAUACGUUUACGGUCUUG